AGAGUUUGAUCAUGGCUCAGGAUAAACGCUGGCGGCGUGCUUAACACAUGCAAGUCGAACGAAGCAUUUUGGAAGAAGUCUUCGGACGGAUUUUGGGAUGACUGAGUGGCGGACGGGUGAGUAACGCGUGGGCAACCUACCCUGUACAGGGGGAUAACAGCUGGAAACGGCUGCUAAUACCGCAUAAGCGCACGGGACCGCAUGGUCGGGUGUGAAAAACUCCGGUGGUACAGGAUGGGCCCGCGUCUGAUUAGGCAGUUGGCGGGGUGACGGCCCACCAAACCGACGAUCAGUAGCCGACCUGAGAGGGUGACCGGCCACAUUGGGACUGAGACACGGCCCAAACUCCUACGGGAGGCAGCAGUGGGGAAUAUUGCACAAUGGGCGCAAGCCUGAUGCAGCGACGCCGCGUGAGCGAAGAAGUAUUUCGGUAUGUAAAGCUCUAUCAGCAGGGAAGAAACGACGGUACCUGCACAAGAAGCUCCGGCUAAAUACGUGCCAGCAGCCGCGGUAAUACGUAUGGAGCAAGCGUUAUCCGGAAUUACUGGGUGUAAAGGGAGCGUAGACGGCAUGGCAAGUCUGGUGUGAAAGACCGGGGCUCAACUCCGGGCCUGCAUUGGAAACUGUCAAGCUUGAAUGCCGGAGAGGUAAGCGGAAUUCCUAGUGUAGCGGUGAAAUGCGUAGAUAUUAGGAGGAACACCAGUGGCGAAGGCGGCUUACUGGACGGUAACUGACGUUGAGGCUCGAAGGCGUGGGGAGCAAACAGGAUUAGAUACCCUGGUAGUCCACGCAGUAAACGA
rnacentral:rRNA from 1 species